UUGUUCCUUACCCUGGCAGGUGGAGACCUCCAAAUUGGCCAUGCAGGAGAUGAAUCCCCAGACAGCACAGAUGAGGCUGUGGGGCAGCAGGAGAUUAAAGUCCUCCAAGAAAUACAGCUGCUUCCGUGACAAGAGGGAAUUAUCAUCUUCAGACUCAGCAGGAAUAUGGGGUUGGUUUCAAGCCCAUGGAGCCACACAGUCCAAUUGAGAGCUACAACCUGUCCUGCCGCUGAGUCGCAUCCCAGUAGGCCAGCCACACCCUCAAGGCCAAGAAGACCAGGCCAUGAAGAAUCUCAGGCCCACUGAGUGCCCAGGUGGCAGGGGCAGAGUGCCUCAGGGCUCGGUGAAGUUUGGGCUGAGCAUGGGCUCUGGAAGUCAGACAGCUACACUGGGCUCCCAGCUCCACUGUGAUCAGCCCUGUGACCGGGGCAGGGAACUCAUUGCUGUGGUACUUGAGCAUCACUGUCAUGAAUUUACUGUGUCUGUCGAAUCCUUUUCUUUUUUUAUCUC